GGCUAAACCAUGCACCGAAGCUGCGGCAGCGACGCUGAUGCGUUGUUGGGUAGGGGAGCGUUCUGUAAGCCUGCGAAGGUGGCCUGUGAGGGUUGCUGGAGGUAUCAGAAGUGCGAAUGCUGACAUAAGUAACGAUAAAGCGGGUGAAAAGCCCGCUCGCCGGAAGACCAAGGGUUCCUGUCCAACGUUAAUCGGGGCAGGGUGAGUCGACCCCUAAGGCGAGGCCGAAAGGCGUAGUCGAUGGGAAACGGGUUAAUAUUCCCGUACUUGGUGUUACUGCGAAGGGGGGACGGAGAAGGCUAUGUUGGCCGGGCGACGGUUGUCCCGGUUUAAGCGUGUAGGUGUGUGUUCCAGGUAAAUCCGGUUCACUUUAACACUGAGGCGUGACGACGAGGCACUACGGUGCUGAAGCAACAAAUGCCCUGCUUCCAGGAAAAGCCUCUAAGCAUCAGGUAACAUCAAAUCGUACCCCAAACCGACACAGGUGGUCAGGUAGAGAAUACCAAGGCGCUUGAGAGAACUCGGGUGAAGGAACUAGGCAAAAUGGUGCCGUAACUUCGGGAGAAGGCACGCUGACACGUAGGUGAAGUGAUUUACUCAUGGAGCUGAAGUCAGUCGAAGAUACCAGCUGGCUGCAACUGUUUAUUAAAAACACAGCACUGUGCAAACACGAAAGUGGACGUAUACGGUGUGACGCCUGCCCGGUGCCGGAAGGUUAAUUGAUGGGGUCAGCGCAAGCGAAGCUCCUGAUCGAAGCCCCGGUAAACGGCGGCCGUAACUAUAACGGUCCUAAGGUAGCGAAAUUCCUUGUCGGGUAAGUUCCGACCUGCACGAAUGGCGUAAUGAUGGCCAGGCUGUCUCCACCCGAGACUCAGUGAAAUUGAACUCGCUGUGAAGAUGCAGUGUACCCGCGGCAAGACGGAAAGACCCCGUGAACCUUUACUAUAGCUUGACACUGAACAUUGAGCCUUGAUGUGUAG
rnacentral:rRNA from 2 species